rnacentral:rRNA from 1 species
ACGGAGAUAACAUUUUCGAAGCGAUUAGUUUACUAAGAGCGGAGAUGUUGCUAUCUUAGUGGCGGACGGGUGAGUAACGCGUGGGUAACCUGCCUUGCACUGGGGGAUAACACUUAGAAAUAGGUGCUAAUACCGCAUAACAGUAGGAGACGCAUGUCUUUUACUUGAAAACUCCGGUGGUGUAAGAUGGACCCGCGUCUGAUUAGCUUGUUGGCGGGGUAACGGCCCACCAAGGCAACGAUCAGUAGCCGGCCUGAGAGGGUGAACGGCCACAUUGGGACUGAGACACGGCCCAAACUCCUACGGGAGGCAGCAGUGGGGAAUAUUGGACAAUGGGGGGAACCCUGAUCCAGCGACGCCGCGUGAGUGAAGAAGUAUUUCGGUAUGUAAAGCUCUAUCCCCAGGGAAGAAAGAAAUGACGGUACCUGACUAAAGAAGCCCCGGCUAACUACGUGCCCAGCAGCCGCGGUAAUACGUAGGGGGCAAGCGUUAUCCGGAUUUACUGGGUGUAAAGGGAGCGUAGACGGCGAUGCAAGUCUGAAGUGAAAGGCGGGGGCCCAACCCCUGGACUGCUUUGGAAACUGUAUGGCUGGAGUGCAGGAGAGGUCCCCGGCCUUCCUAGUGUAGCGGUGAAAUGCGUAGCUCCUCUGGGAACCCCCACAGGCGAAGGCGGCUUACUGGACUGUAACUGACGUUGAGGCUCGAAAGCGUGGGGAGCAAACAGGAUUAGAUACCCUGGUAGUCCACGCCGUAAACGAUGAUCACCAGGUGUCGGUGGGUAUGGACCCAUCGGUGCCGCAGCAAACGCAGUAAGUGAUCCACCUGGGGAGUACGUUCGCAAGAAUGAAACUCAAAGGAAUUGACGGGGACCCGCACAAGCGGUGGAGCAUGUGGUUUAAUUCGAAGCAACGCGAAGAACCUUACCAAGUCUUGACAUCCCGUUGACGAGUGAGUAAUGUCACUUUCCCUUCGGGGCAGCGGAGACAGGUGGUGCAUGGUUGUCGUCAGCUCGUGUCGUGAGAUGUUGGGUUAAGCCCCGCAACGAGCGCAACCCCUAUCCUUAGUAGCCAGCGAGCAAGGUCGGGCACUCUAGGGAGACUGCCGGGGACAACCCGGAGGAAGGUGGGGAUGACGUCAAAUCAUCAUGCCCCUUAUGAUUUGGGCUACACACGUGCUACAAUGGCGUAAACAAAGGGAAGCGAGCCUGUGAAGGUAAGCGAAUCCCAGAAAUAACGUCUCAGUUCGGAUUGUAGUCUGCAACUCGACUACAUGAAGCUGGAAUCGCUAGUAAUCGC